GGGCCCGCACAAGCAGUGGAGUAUGUGGUUUAAUUCGAAGCAACGCGAAGAACCUUACCAGGGCUUGACAUCCCUCUGACCGGUAUAGAGAUAUACCUUCCCUUCGGGGCAGAGGAGACAGGUGGUGCAUGGUUGUCGUCAGCUCGUGUCGUGAGAUGUUGGGUUAAGUCCCGCAACGAGCGCAACCCCUGUUGUUAGUUGCCAGCAUUCAGUUGGGCACUCUAGCGAGACUGCCGGUGAUAAAUCGGAGGAAGGUGGGGACGACGUCAAAUCAUCAUGCCCCUUAUGUCCUGGGCUACACACGUACUACAAUGGCGAUAACAGAGGGAAGCGAGACCGCGAGGUGGAGCAAAACCCCAAAAGUCGCCCCAGUUCAGAUUGCAGGCUGCAACUCGCCUGCAUGAAGUCGGAAUUGCUAGUAAUGGCAGGUCAGCAUACUGCCGUGAAUACGUUCCCGGGCCUU
rnacentral:rRNA from 1 species